rnacentral:rRNA from 1 species
AGUGAACGCUGGCGGUAGGCCUAACACAUGCAAGUCGAACGGCAGCACAGUAAGAGCUUGCUCUUACGGGUGGCGAGUGGCGGACGGGUGAGGAAUACAUCGGAAUCUACUUUUUCGUGGGGGAUAACGUAGGGAAACUUACGCUAAUACCGCAUACGACCUACGGGUGAAAGCAGGGGAUCUUCGGACCUUGCGCGAUUGAAUGAGCCGAUGUCGGAUUAGCUAGUUGGCGGGGUAAAGGCCCACCAAGGCGACGAUCCGUAGCUGGUCUGAGAGGGUGGAUCGGCCACACUGAACCUGAGACACGGUCCGGCCUCCACCGGAAGGCAGCGGUGGGGAUUUUUGGACAAGGGGCGCAAGCCUGAUCCAGCCAUACCGCGUGGGUGAAGAAGGCCUUCGGUUUGUAAAGCCCUUUUGUUGGGAAAGAAAAGCAGCAGGUUAAUACCCCGCUGUUCUGACGGUACCCAAAGAAUAGGCACCGGCUACCUCCGU